UACGGGGGGGGGCAAGCGUUGUUCGGAAUUACUGGGCGUAAAGGGCGCGUAGGCGGCCUGCUAAGUCGGACGUGAAAUCCCUCGGCUCAACCGAGGAACUGCGUCCGAUGCUGGUGGGCUUGAAUCCGGGAGAGGGAUGUGGAAUUCCAGGUGUAGCGGUGAAAUGCGUAGAUAUCUGGAGGAACAUCGGUGGCGAAGGCGGCAUCCUGGACCGGUAUUGACGCUGAGGCGCGAAAGCCAGGGGAGCAAACGGG
rnacentral:rRNA from 1 species